CCUUUUCCUUUUCUUUUUCCUUUGUCAUCCUUAUUAGAGAUACAAGGACAAAAAGCAGACAAAAAAAAAGAAAGAAAGAAAUAUUUAAAGAACAAAAGAGAUCAAGCAUAUAUUCGCCAUAUAUACUAAUUAAAUGUCCAUGCCAUCAACACCAUAUAUAUCAACAUACAUCACCAUUUACACAUGAAAUUAGAAGAAGAAAAAAAUGAGUACAUAGAUACAUAGAUAUAGUGUCUCCCGCUAUACAUUUCAAUCCUUAGAAAUAUAUAAAUAUAUAAUAUAUAUAAUUGUUUUAAUAAUUAACAGUGAUGAUGAUAAUAACAAACCUCUCAACGUAGAACAAACAAUAUUAAUGUUUUUGAUCUAAUAAUAAUAGUAAUAAUAUUAAAGAUGACAGUUACAUAAAUCUGCCGCUACAAAUCCCCGUGCCAUCUUUAAUUAACUAUUAUGAGGCUUCAUUCAGUUAUUCCCUCUCUAUGCUACUUACCGGUUUUGAAUAGGGUUUGGACCACUUGGAACUUCAUGUUCAUCAGCUCCGAAUUCUCUACUACCAGCAUCUUUAGAUGAUGAUGAAGAAGAAGAAGUAUGUGAGAUAUGAUUAUGAGGAUGAUGGGUUUUCUGAGGUUGAGGGUGCAAGCUUGUAUAAGAAGAAGACAUAGUUGAUUCUGAUGGUAAUGACUUUGUGGGUACAUGGGAGAAAUUGAAGAGUAAGAGGAAAAUGAAGAGAAAAGCAAGGAAUUGAAACAAAGAGUAACAGUGUGAUGAUUUUGAGAAAACGAAGGUUUGUGAUGAUGAUGAUGAUGAAGAGUUUUUGGAUUCAGCCAUGCAAUUUGAAAGAAAAAACCACCCCCCAAGAGCCAAGAAAGGGUUCAAUAUCCAUGUACCAGCCUAGAACCCAAGGCUUUGAUGAGAGAGAGAGAGAAAGAGAGAGAGUGAAGAGAAGAAGGUUCAGAAAAAAGUGAUUAGUGGAAAGGUGGGUUUUGGGAAUUCGAUGCACAUUUUAGUGUGAGAAC
rnacentral:lncRNA from 1 species